CCGAGAUAGGGGUACAUAUUCUGCCACUGGCGAUUCCCUGGACCUUAGCGAUGAUGCGCAAGCUAGCGACGACUCUCGGCGUUCUAAGGGAGAGAGUACCGUUCGCGACGGAGUCUCCCAGGACG
ncrna:unclassified sequences Flavobacterium-1 RNA